AUUGAACGCUGGCGGCAUGCCUUACACAUGCAAAUCGAACGGUAACGGGCCUUCGGGUGCCGACGAGUGGCGAACGGGUGCGUAAUACAUCGGAACGUGCCCGAUCGUGGGGGAUAACGAGGCGAAAGCUUUGCUAAUACCGCAUACGAUCUACGGAUGAAAGCAGGGGACCGCAAGACCUUGCGCGGACGGAGCGGCCGAUGGCAGAUUAGGUAGUUGGUGGGAUAAAAGCUUACCAAGCCGACGAUCUGUAGCUGGUCUGAGAGGAUGAUCAGCCACACUGGGACUGAGACACGGCCCAGACUCCUACGGGAGGCAGCAGUGGGGAAUUUUGGACAAUGGGCGCAAGCCUGAUCCAGCCAUGCCGCGUGCAGGAUGAAGGCCUUCGGGUUGUAAACUGAUUUUGUACGGAACGAAAAGCCUUCUUUUAAUACAGGAGGGUCAUGACGGUACCGUAAGAAUAAGCACCGGCUAACUACGUG
rnacentral:rRNA from 1 species